rnacentral:rRNA from 1 species
CAGUAGCCACGGUAAUACGUAGGUGGCAAGCGUUAUCCGGAAUUAUUGGGCGUAAAGCGCGCGUAGGCGGUUUUUUAAGUCUGAUGUGAAAGCCCACGGCUCAACCGUGGAGGGUCAUUGGAAACUGGAAAACUUGAGUGCAGAAGAGGAAAGUGGAAUUCCAUGUGUAGCGGUGAAAUGCGCAGAGAUAUGGAGGAACACCAGUGGCGAAGGCGACUUUCUGGUCUGUAACUGACGCUGAUGUGCGAAAGCGUGGGGAUCAAACAGGAUUAGAUACCCCAGUAGUCCCUGUCUCUUAUAC